UACCAAUCAACAAGGUUUGUUAGACUGACCUGAUUCUGUCAGGAUCCCGUUCAACACAAGAACGAAGGGUCGACUACGCAGCGAUAUACGGAGAAGAGGAAAACAGAGUGGUGUUUAACUACUCACUUCUGCUUGGCCAAUUCCUCUGGUCCAAUCAGUGCGCAGUUUGACGCUUAUUUUCGUUCCUCGUGUUGUCGGUGAACCAUCUGAAUCCCACUUCUGGCACCAAA